GCCCCCGUAGCUCAGUGGACAGAGCACCGGACUUCUAAUCCGACGGUCGUAGGUUCGAAUCCUACCGGGGGUACCA
rnacentral:tRNA from 1 species